GGACGAACGCUGGCGGCGUGCUUAACACAUGCAAGUCGAACGGGAGUAUUGAAGAAGCUUGCUUUAGAGAUACUUUAGUGGCGGACGGGUGAGUAACGCGUGAGGAGCUGUCCGAUGCAGGGGGACAACAGUUGGAAACGACUGCUAAUACCCCAUAAGCCGAGAGGUAAAAGGAUUUAUCCGGCAAUGGAGGUACUCGCGUCCUAUCAGCUAGUAGGUGAGGUAACGGCUCACCUAGGCGAAGACGGGUAGCCGGCCUGAGAGGGCGAACGGCCACACUGGAACUGAGAUACGGUCCAGACUCCUACGGGAGGCAGCAGUGGGGAAUAUUGGGCAAUGGGGGGAACCCUGACCCAGCGACGCCGCGUGGGUGAAGAAAUCCUUCGGGAUGUAAAGCCCUGUUGUAUGGGAAGAGCGGAAGACGGUACCAUACGAGGAAGCCCCGGCAAACUACGUGCCAGCAGCCGCGGUAAUACGUAGGGGGCAAGCGUUGUCCGGAAUUACUGGGCGUAAAGCGCACGCAGGCUGAAUUAUAAGUCGGUAGUAAAAGGCGGGGGCUCAACUUCCGUAUAUCUAUCGAUACUGUAAAUCUAGAGUAUGUGAGAGGGAAGCGGAAUUCCGGGUGUAGCGGUGGAAUGCGCAGAUAUCCGGAGGAACACCAGUGGCGAAGGCGGCCUCCUGGACCACUCCUGACACUCAGACGCGAAAGCUAGGGUAGCAAACGGGAUUAGAGACCCCGGUAGUCCUAGCCCUAAACGAUGUAGACUUGGCGUCGGUGGUUUAAUCGCCAUCGGUGUCGUAGCUAACGCGUUAAGUCUACCGCCUGGGGACUACGGCCGCAAGGUUAAAACUCAAAGGAAUUGACGGGUCCCCGCACAAGCAGCGGAGCGUGUGGUUUAAUUCGAUGCUACACGAAGAACCUUACCUGGGUUUGACAUAGAGGUAGUAGGGAAGCGAAAGCGGACCGACCCUUCGGGGAGCCUCUACAGGUGUUGCAUGGCUGUCGUCAGCUCGUGUCGUGAGAUGUUCGGUUAAGUCCGCUAACGAGCGCAACCCUCGCUGUGUGUUACAAGUGUCACACGGUACUGCCGAUAUUAAGUCGGAGGAAGGUGGGGAUGACGUCAAGUCAGCAUGACCUUUAUAUCCAGGGCUACACACACGCUACAAUGGCCAGUACAAUGGGUUGCCAAGCCGCGAGGCGGAGCCAAUCCUAAAAAGCUGGCCUCAGUUCAGAUUGCAGUCUGCAACUCGACUGCAUGAAGUUGGAGUUGCUAGUAACCGCAGGUCAGCAAUACUGCGGUGAAUACGUUCCCGGGGAU
rnacentral:rRNA from 1 species